AUACCCAUAUAUAUAUAUAUAAAUAAAAAUGAAUAAAUCUGAAGGGGGUGGAAGUUCCACGAGUGUGCCCCCAGGGAUAGUUCUUUCCCUAGGUCUGGUUUUACAAAUUCUGGUGAUAAAC